ensembl:snRNA U7 U7 small nuclear RNA
UAGUGCUUAUAGCUCUUUUUGAAUUUGUCUAGCAGGUCUUCUGGUUUUCACUGGAAGACUCCC